AGGAGAAAGUAAAAAAAAUCAAAACAAAACAGAAGAAACCGGAUGACUGACGAGAGGGAACAGGUUACUGGAGAGGGAGGCUGAUUUCAUCAGAGGCCAACCCUGCCGCAAAGUCUGACUAGGGUCAUGAAAGACAGGAAAGACUGAGGGGCACGGUGGAGGAGCCACGACGACUAAGUGUGAUGUGGGAUCCUGAAGGGGAGCCUGGGACAGGAAAAGGACAUCAGGGGAAAAACUGUAGAUCAGUCACGUCCCUGGAUAAAUGCAGCCGUGAGGGCAACAUGAAAGGCAUCGGAAGAGCCACUGGAAUCACUACCUUUUGGGACACAGGAUACCCUUAGUCAUCCUUCUGUUCCAGACGAGGCCGUCACUGUCCUUCCCAGAUCCCAGCCUUGAGGAGUGAACCCUGCCAAGUCUGAGCUCACUCCAACGUCCCAACAUCACAGCCACAGGCGAGGAGCUCCUGAGGGCAGUGACUGUGGACAUACUAGACAGUUGCUGCUGUGCUAAAUAAAUAAUCAAUCACAAAGAGAAUAAACUCUUCUUCUCUGGAACCACUGAAAAAUGGAACAGAUAUUUAUCAGUCUGCACAGAUCAUUACUGAGGAUGAAAAAAUGGAAUCGUCAGGAUAACUUAAAAUAUCUUCUAGUCUUCUGAUCUAA